rnacentral:rRNA from 1 species
CCUACGGGAGGCAGCAGUGGGGAAUAUUGCACAAUGGGGGAAACCCUGAUGCAGCAACGCCGCGUGGGUGAAGAAGCGUUUCGGCGCGUAAAGCCCUGUCAGCGGGGAAGAAGAAAGACGGUUCCCUACCUAGAAGCCCCGGCUAACUACGUGCCAGCAGCCGCGGUAAGACGUAGGGGGCGAGCGUUAUCCGGAAUUACUGGGGGUAAAGGGAGCGGAGGCGGCAAGGUAAGCCUGAAGUGGAAGCCCGCGGCCCAACCGCGGGACUGCCUUGGGGACUGGCCUGCUGGAGUGUGGGAGGGGUAGGCGGAAUUCCUGGUGUAGCGGUGAAAUGCGUAGAUAUCAGGAGGAACACCAGUGGCGAAGGCGGCUUACUGGACCAUAACUGACGUUGAGGCUCGAAAGCGUGGGGAGCGAACAGGAUUAGAUACCCCUGUAGUC